rnacentral:lncRNA from 1 species
AUGUUUUUGCCCAGCAACACUAGCACAUUGAACAAACAUUGCAAGUACUUUGGGCAGGAGAGGAGGGGCUCCCGGUCUAACGUAGCAGCACCCACCCCUUUCUGCUCGUCUGUCCACAGGGCUGCUUAAUGCUUCUGUAACCUGCCUGGCUAAGGAACUGGCCUCCAGGGAAGCCUGAGCAGAGGGUUUGGAUGUCCCGGGGGCAGGGGGUAGGGUGGGAAGGCAGGAUUGCUGCUGUUCUCACCCCCCUACCCCACCCAGGACUUGGCAGGGCAUGAGUGGGUAAACCUACCCUUGGCUCCAGCUCUCCUAGCCUGGGAAUCCCGGGGCACUCUUGGUCCUGAUGCCAGGCCCAGGGGCCAGCGUCCUCCUCCAGACUUGCUUUUCCAAGAGGCCCCACCUCUGCCAGCUGGCUCGUCCGAGACAGGCGUCUCAAGACUCUUUCUCGGCCGUGGGCUCCGGACCUCACCAACAUUCCAAAACAGCAUCACAACUGGUUCUCAGAUCAAACAGCCCUUCAGGGAAGCCUUCCUGACACCCCCACCCGAUCGUCCCGGAAUCUUUAUUACGCACUUUUGUGGUACCCUGUGCCUCCCCUCCAGGCUCUUGCCUCGGUGGUUAAUAAGUACUCGUGUACUCACUUAAUGGGUGUCUGUGACUCCCCCAGACAGCGUCCCCCAAUGGGGGCCAGGGUCCCGCCGCCGAUGGCUGCUGUAGCCCAACGCUGAGCAGCCGCUCCACUACACCAAGCAGGACAAGACGCUCCCAGAGCCCUGUCCGCUGGUGGCCCAGCUCCUCACUCUCAGCCUCAUCUACAACCCGUUAGUCAGGAGACCAAACGGUCUUUGUUUAGUUGAACAUAUACUGUACGUUAACUAACUGGAAAUUGAAUAAAAACAUUAAAACCCUCUUUGUCUGUAAUCAGAUCACAACUUCCCCCCUCCCCAAGGGUGACCUGAUGUGGCAAGGGUGACCUUUGCAGAUCCCAGCUGUGUCAACAGCCCCUGCUGCCCCCUACUUCAGGUUCUUUGUCAUUCUGGCUCUGGGGCAGGACCUGACUCUGCACACCGUCCCAUUUCUUUUAGGUUGGCGUAAAGUUUGAAAGUUCCCGAUGCCCAUCACACCGAUAUUUUAACAGGAUUCAGAGGCCACAGCAUUACUCUUCCCAUUCUACAGAAGAAACCAUCCCCGAAAAGUGGCCUUCUCUAGGUCAUGGCUGGGAGGUCUUGGGGUUCAGUUUCUAGCUCCAGGGGCGGGCGGGAGGAGGAGGAAAGCAGGUAAAGUGAGGGAAGCUUGGCACCCAGGAAGCAGGGGAUCCAGGCCAGGCACCGGGAGCAAAACUCCAGACGUCUCAGAAGGUACUGGAAACCAGAUAGAACCUACAUGCUCUGAAGACUGAACCAGAAUCCUGCACUUUGUCAACCAGGCCGUUUUUAUAUUUCUAGUGUUUUCUGUGUUUAUUUCCCUAAUUUUCUCCCAUAGCAGGAAGUAGGAAAAACUCAGGAAAGUUCCAUUUGGCUCUAGCUGUGCAGAGGGGAGCCAAAGGAAUGGCUUCGCAUCUGUGCGUGUGCCAGAAGGGUGAAAGGGGCAGCAUCCCAGGGCGAGAGAAUCAAAGAGGGGAGGGGGCUGGGGAGACAGGGCAGCGACCCCCACCCUGACCCCAGGCACCUGGGAAAGAUCAGAAGUUCACUAUAUAUUAAAAACAAACAAACAAACAAACAAACAAACAAAAAAACAACCCAGGGCUUUCUGUCAUUAAAAGAAAUUGGUUGCCUUUACCACCUCCCAGGGUUGCUUUGGGAUCCCAUCACUCACAUGACACGUAUUUAUUGAGUUCUAGGUGCCUGGGACGCCAAAACGAAGAUCUCUGCCCUCGUGUGCCUGUGGGUCAUGUCAUGGGGUGUGCUAGAAGGCGUGAGGUGCCCGGGGGGUUUCCGGGGGCUCAGUGCUCCAG